ensembl:snRNA Gm22220 predicted gene, 22220
GACCUAACCUGGCAGGGAGAUACCAUGAUCACCAAGGUGGUUUUCCUAGGGCGAGGCUUAUCCAUUGCACUCCAGAUGUGCUGACCCCUGUGAUUUCCCCAAAUGUGCGGAAACUUAGCUGGCAAAUUGAAUAAAGAGUUCUCACUUGU